rnacentral:tRNA from 1 species
AUUUAUUUAAUUUAUACAAAAAUAUUAUAUUUUCAAUAUAAAAAAAGAAUUUUCUAAUAAAUU